rnacentral:rRNA from 1 species
UAGUGAGUUUGAUCCUGGCUCAGAACGAACGCUGGCGGCAUGCUUAACACAUGCAAGUCGAACGAGACCUUCGGGUCUAGUGGCGCACGGGUGCGUAACGCGUGGGAAUCUGCCCUUAGGUACGGAAUAACUCAGAGAAAUUUGUGCUAAUACCGUAUGAUGUCGAAAACGACCAAAGUAUUUAUCGUCCUUUGGAGUCGGGCCCGCGUAGGAUUAGCUAGUUGGAGAGGUAACGGCUCACCGAGGCAUCGAUCAGUAGCUGGUCUGA